CCUACGGGUGGCUGCAGUAGGGAAUAUUGCUCAAUGGGGGAAACCCUGAAGCAGCAACGCCGCGUGGAGGAUGAAGGUUUUCGUAUUGUAAACUCCUUUUGUUAGAGAAGAUAAUGACGGUAUCUCACGAAUAAGCACCGGCUAACUCCGUGCCAGCCGCCGCGGUAAUACGGAGGGUGCAAGCGUUACUCGGAGUGACUGGGCGUCAAGAGCGCGUAGGCGGGAUGGCAAGUCAGGUGUGAAAUCCUAGGGCGUAACCCUAGAACUGCAUUGGAAACUGUAAGGCUAGAGUAUAGGAGAGGUAAGUGGAAUUCGUGGUGUAGGGGUGAAAUGCGUAGAGAUCAGGAGGAAUACUAGUGGCGAAGGCGACUUACUAGAAUGUAACUGACGCUGAUGCGCGAAAGCGUGGGGAGCAAACAGGAUUAGAUACCCGAGUAGUC
rnacentral:rRNA from 1 species